ensembl:lncRNA
UAGCUGAAGGUUUAUUUUUAGCCAGAAGAGAAAUCAUUGUUAUGCCAUGGCAACCAGAUCUGGGAGGCUGUGGACCAAUCCAUGCAGAAGCACUGAGUCACUUCAGCCUUCGGACAUCCCUUCUUACCUCUCAUCCAGCCUUCUGCUGAGUUUAGGUCAGCUGUUCUGGUUCUGUGCCCCCCCAGCCCCCUUGCUGGCAGGACAGUACAAGAAGUUGAAAAACUGAAACAUCCUUGCAGCUGUGCUCAGCAACAGCUAAUAUGUUGCAGGAAAUACUCCUAAUGACUACAUUAAUAAUUAUGCACUCGGAAAACCAAGACUGAUCACUGAGGUGAAUAUUGGGACAACAAAGUUUUCACAUGAAUCUUUCAGUGGACUGCAGUAAUCUAUUCUGCCUGCCAUGGCUACAAGGAUGUGAAGCAUUUUAUAAAAGAAGACUGUGUUUGGUCGCAGCAGGUUACAAAGAAAGGCCUUGAUCUUGCAAGUGGCUUUGAGCAGAUUCCUGAACCAUUGUAGGGCCAGUUGUGGCAGCAUGAACAAAGAGCCCAACCACAGCUUUGUGCCUCAAAAUUUUCCUAAUGGGAGGAUGAACCUCCAUCAGCUUUUUAAUGGAGCCAUCCUCUUCCUCAUUCCAAGUGUCUCACAUUCUCUGUGCAUGCCCAUGCAAAGGAGUGGCUUUGCUCUACAAAUGUUUAUGGCUGCUGUGAGGGAGGAUGAUGGUCCUGCGUAGCCCCACCUUUCUCUCCUUACCCUGGCCCAUGCUCAGCUGUGUCUUUGCCACAGUCCCUAGGCAGUACAAGGAGAUUUUUCUGCAAGGGCAUCAGCAAGAUGCGGAGGAAAAAGCAUGCGCAGAUUUUGGUGUCUGGUAGCCAUUAGAUGGAGCGUGACUCCCCAUUGCUGUCUACACCCAGAACAGGGGCCAUAGCAUGCACUGGACCUAGACUGGGUGCUCUGAAGCCAUGAUUGUGCUCUCAGAAGGUAAAUAUGACACAGCCACAGGUGGCCUGAGUUUCAGGUGAAAAAUUAUCUAGGAGGUUUUGCUGUCCUGUCCUAUAGAAGAUGUGUUUUCCAAGGGCUGUGAACAAACAGGAUGCUUCUGUGGGGCAGCGUAGCUAAAACAUGGUAUCUGUGGGGUUCUUCUUCCCACAGAGAUGCUGGCUAGUGGGCCCCCAUCAGGGUGGGCAACACAACCUGAGACCUCCAGCAUCCCUGUCCUACCAAGUACAUGGUGCCCACCUCACAGCUCCUCCUGCCACACUUCCCCUCCCCACCUCAGUUGCCUUUGCACUCUGUUUGUAUAACUCCUGUCACUGCUUGGGCUAUCAGAUGCUGCAAUAAUGAAAAUAAGAUGAAAUAGAGCUGGGUUCAUUUGGUGAAGUUCUAUAGGUGGAAUUUAAAAUUGAUUUUUAAUUUUUAAUAGGUUGACUCAACACUCAUGGGCAUUGCAGACAGUAGUUAAAAACUACUUUGCGCUGGAGUCAGAGAGUCAGAACUAAUUAAAGAAUAUGUCCACAAAAGCACUGCUAAUAAACUGAAGGGAAGACCUUAAUUAGAAAUUUGGGAGGUAGUAACCCUCCUGUUAAUAAAGCUUAAAUGACAUUUGGGAGCCAUGCAAAAUAAGUAAACAGCUCCUCUCUGCAUAGCUGCAGCCAAAGACAAGACAUCAGAAGAAAAAUCUAAACAGAGUCUGGAUGCUGCCACUCUGGAGCUGAAACAGCCUCUCCUUAAAGCAGUCGUCAGCCGUGCUCUCCACUCCGUAAGAAACAGCACUGCAGCACUUGAAAAAAUCUGUAGAGUACAGCAGCAAGGUGACUCCAAGGACUGCAAGGCAUGAGCAGGAGUAAGCAGAAGCUAAAGCACCUCAGCCUCAAGAGUAUGACUUAAUUCUGCUC